rnacentral:rRNA from 1 species
AGCGGCGGACGGGUGAGUAACGCGUGGGUAACCUGCCCUGUACACACGGAUAACAUACCGAAAGGUAUGCUAAUACGAGAUAAUAUGCUUUUAUCACAUGGUAGAAGUAUCAAAGCUUUUGCGGUACAGGAUGGACCCGCGUCUGAUUAGCUAGUUGGUAAGGUAACUGCUUACCAAGGCGACGAUCAGUAGCCGACCUGAGAGGGUGAUCGGCCACAUUGGAACUGAGACACGGUCCAAACUCCUACGGGAGGCAGCAGUGGGGAAUAUUGCACAAUGGGCGAAAGCCUGAUGCAGCAACGCCGCGUGAGCGAUGAAGGCCUUCGGGUCGUAAAGCUCUGUCCUCAAGGAAGAUAAUGACGGUACUUGAGGAGGAAGCCCCGGCUAACUACGUGCCAGCAGCCGCGGUAAUACGUAGGGGGCUAGCGUUAUCCGGAAUUACCGGGCGUAAAGGGUGCGUAGGUGGUUUCUUAAGUCAGAGGUGAAAGGCUACGGCUCAACCGUAGUAAGCCUUUGAAACUGGGAAACUUGAGUGCAGGAGAGGAGAGUGGAAUUCCUAGUGUAGCGGUGAAAUGCGUAGAUAUUAGGAGGAAUACCAGUUGCGAAGGCGGCUCUCUGGACUGUAACUGACACUGAGGCACGAAAGCGUGGGGAGCAAACAGGAUUAGAUACCCUGGUAGUCCACGCCGUAAACGAUGAGUACUAGCUGU